AGCACUGACAAUCAGAGUGUAGACCGUGCAUACCGAAUUGGGCAGAAGAAGGAUGUCAUAGUGUACAGAUUAAUGACAUGUGGAACUGUGGAAGAGAAAAUUUAUAGAAAGCAGGUAUUUAAAGGGGGUUUGUUUAGAAGUGCAACUGAACAAAAAGAGCAGAUACGCUAUUUCAGCCAACAGGACUUAAGGAUCUUUUCACUGUGCCCAAACUAGGAUUUGAUGUUUCUCCCACCCAACAACAGUUGCUUGAAGAACAUGAUCGGGAGCAUACUAUGGAAGAAUCUCUUAGAGGCCAUGUAGAGUUCCUUGAAACUCUCAACAUAGCUGGAGUCAGUCAGCACAGUUUGCUCUUUUCAAAGGCAGCCCCUGCGAAUGAGGUUGAGAUACUUGAUGUCGAGGAACCGAAAAGGUCAGCCUCUGUUAGAUUUCUUAAAAGUGCACAUUACAAUUGAAUUUUCGGUUUAGGGGGACUACGUACAUGGGGAAUGCAUCGAGACGAUCACCACUUGAACAAAAUGUCGAUGGAGCACAGUACGCAUUUAAUCCCAAGGAUGUAAACAGAAUGCGGAGAAACUCAGUUCCUGAUGUUAGCGAACCAUCUGAAGCAGAAAUCAAAGAGAGAAUAGGUCGCUUGUCUCAUAUAUUCUCGAAUACGGCUGCAGUCUCGAGACUGCCUGAUAUAAAGGACAGAAAAUACACAGGCAAAUAGCUGCAUUGGAAGUUCAGCUGAAUAACCUGCGGAUGUCAAAAGGAUAACAUAAUUGAAUUAUCGUAAGUGUUCUUUUUGUAAAUCAGAAUGUGAAUUUUGAUGCCAUCAUGUAUUGUUAACAUUUAAGUAUGUUUCCCAUGGCACCUCAUUUCAACUAGAAAACAAAAACGAGUAUGAUUUAUUUUAA